rnacentral:rRNA from 1 species
AGUGAACGCUGGCGGCGUGCCUAAUACAUGCAAGUCGAAGGAAGUGGCGCACGGGUGAGUAAUACGUGGGUAACCUGCCCUCCUUUUUGGGAUAAGCCUUGGAAACGGGGUCUAAUACCGAAUAAAGGGGGAUGGGCUCGCGGCCUAUCAGCUUGUUGGUGGGGUGAUGGCCUACCAAGGCGGUGACGGGUAGCCGGCCUGAGAGGGUGACCGGCCACAUUGGGACUGAGAUACGGCCCAGACUCCUACGGGAGGCAGCAGUAGGGAAUAUUGCGCAAUGGGGGAAACCCUGACGCAGCAACGCCGCGUGGAGGAUGACACUUUUCGGAGCGUAAACUCCUUUCGCGGUACCUAACGAAUAAGCACCGGCUAACUCCGUGCCAGCAGCCGCGGUAAUUC